rnacentral:tRNA from 5 species
CCUGGUAAAGCCUCUGCGGUGGAGGCGCGUGUUUGUGGAGCACGAUGGCUCAGUUCGAAUCUGAGUGCCAGGACCA